GUGUCUUGGUCACAACCAAUAAACUAUUAUAGUUCAGAUGUUACUCUAAACAUAUACUUUUAUAAAUAAUAAUAAUAAUUGAAACGAACGAUUUCAGGAAGGAUAACGAAAUAUACGAAGAAUGUCGUAUAUCUUAAAAUUAAUCAAAUUUUUUACUCAUUUAAAAACUAAUUUUAAUAUUAGGUUUGUAAUAAAUCAACGAACGCCGUUAAUUUCUACAAACCGGUCGUCCUGGUGGAGUCAUUAUUGCGGUACACUGUGCGGACGAGUCGCCACACUCCGCGCCAACUGUUUUCAAUGUUUGUAGAAAUAAAUCAAUAGUAAAGUUUUCUGAACGGUGUAGACAGAGGUCUGAAGUGGUUACAGGAGGGACUCAUGGGUACACGGAAGAUACCGUAGCGCCCCGCCUGAAAAACCAGCUCGAACUUAUUGCAAUUAAUUGAAUGUUUUCCCUUUGUCGGCAGACAAGCACACACGCACAGACAGCGCACACACCUCACAGAGAGCAGGCUUCGUCAGUUAUAGACGUCAGCGAUGUCAGGCGCACGGCCGAGCCGCUAUGUCCUGCCGAGGACUAAUAAUACCGCUUAAUGAACAUUGGCAAAGUUAUCCUGUGGUGGUGGGCGGGGCGAUGGUACAAUAAUACUAAACCGGACCGCUUCCAAUAAUUUCUCGAAGCACUGCCACGUGCCUCAGAGUAAGAGCUAUGCUGUCCUUAAGCCGUCUCGGGGUGUAGUGUCAUCCACUGGCAGGUACUGGCAGGUGCGGCACACCCUCCCCGCGCCCCGCAGCACGUGACUGAAGCAGCGCAGCAGUGGGCAAGGAUCGCUGCACCGCCCCGGCCGGUCCACUCGCCCUGGCAACUCGGCACAGUGCGGACGCGCUUCUCAAAUCAGAUGACAUUCCCCAAUAAAUACUGAGCUGCUUCGCUAAUGACGACCGAAUACAUUACUCUGAGGUUUGAGCAGUGGACCGCAAGGCUGACAGUCGGCCGUCCAGUUGAUGAAUAUCCGGUGAUCAGAACACAAUAUAUUAACCCGACUGAUAGAUCUGGGUUACGAGAUUAGUGCUCGUAAAACGUAGACGAGUAAUCCCAUUAUUAGGAGAGUAUUAUGUAAACGAAACGCAUGUAGUGCGUGACGUACAUGUCGUCAGCGGCUCGGCUGUGCCUCUGACAUUGCCACUGUCAACGAGCGGCGGCCAUAAAGUACUUCUCUUUUUUUUCAAUAAAAAGUAAAGCAGCCAUACAGUAUACGAGUACAUAUCUCACAAGUAUUUCGACAAUGAGACCAAAUAAAUGUAGUAGGUUUGAGUGAUUUUAUCUCAAUGACGCGUAGCGCGUGGCGACGUCAUUUACCAACUGGGACCGCGUGCUGAUUCUGAUAUGUUAUUAGUGUUCUAAAACAAUUCCCAAUAGGUUCGUUGGCUGGUUCGUCUCUCUGCUAGAUAUUGCUGGUGGGGUCGCGGGCUGGCUCCGUCCCUGUUCGGUUCUUGCCGCAAGCCCAGUGUGUAGACACGAGGGACACCUCCCACGCUUGUUCCGAGCGCUUGCAGAUACAUUUCGCGCCUACAUUUUAAACACGCCUGUGACUAACUAUUUCCGUCAAAAUAAUGUUAUUUUUGUGACGAUUCUUUGUAUUUUGGUCGCUAUGUCAGUGAAAUUAGUUUCGCGACGCCUGUGAAUUGACGCCUCACUUUAUUCAUACGGCCCACCUGAAUCUGAAUGCGUCGACAACAGCCGGGGUACAAAGGCGUUGUACGCUCUACACUGUACACUGUACACUGUACAAUAAUCGACAGCCGGCAAUACAAGCUCUCGCACGCUCACAGUACUCGUCAGAUACAAUAAUAACUUUUAUUGAAAUAUUUUCCAACAAAUCAACAAUCAAACGGGCGAAUAGGCAUUAAAACAUAAAUCUGAUCAUAAAUUUUACAUUAACUGCUAGUUUUAAUUCUCCGAAUCUUUUUUUAGUAGCGACGUAUAUUAGGGAUGUCACUCUCCGAAAAUACGACUAAAAUAUGGAACUAAAAUACUAAAUACACUUAUUGUCCCUAAACGGACGGAGGGCGAAGGGACGAACAGAUUUCCCAUGUCGGGCUUCACAACGAAUACACUCCGAGCACGUUCCAGUCUACGUCGCGAAACAACCACGGGCUCCGGCGCUGUCCGCGACUACAACACGUCGCGCGUGGCCCUACAGACCUCAACGCGGUCACAGGUGUCUAUGAGACGCGGCGCCGAUCACACCAGGCGGAUCGCGCAAAUCUCAUAUUCAAAUUAUCUCUACUUAAGUGUACAUAUAAUAAAUACAUAAUAGCAUUCGAUCACCUGCCCUGGGUGAGAUAGGGUACUUAUCUCCUGGUAAAUUAUCUGACCAGGGCGGCGUCCCUCAUAACUGCUGAAAUACAUACGACAAUGUAUUCGGUGGUUCGUGAAUUGAUGUCCCAACAGAUCUACUAGUCGACUGACUAGUUAUUUACAGACCAGAGAGUGAGAGAGUGAGAAAAUGUAGCGUGUGUCUUUAUUUCUUCAAUUACAAUUUGAACGUGGGUGAAACCGCUGGCCAUAAGUGUAUGAUUAUUUUGUUGAAAAUUUCAACAAUUUAAAAACCAUUCAUAUAAAUACAUUAAAAUAAAAGCUUAAUUACAGAAUAACGAAAAUUUACAAUUGCUAGAAUCAUCAAUAGUGUAUUUGAUAAAAACAUACAGUUACAAGCAGCCCUACAUAGUUUAGGAACUAUCAUGCUUUUAACGAUUUAAUUUAAACACUUAAAAUAGUAAAUCAAACAUUCACAGCUAUCGUUGAGCUUUCGUUGAAGCUGUGAGAUUUAACGUUCAUUGAUCUGCAUGGAACGAAGAUCUGACUUCCAGUUGUUGGACAGAAAUCAACAUUUAAACAUAACUCUAAAUACAAUAAAGUAAAUGACUGGAGAUAACCAAACGGCCGGGAGUGAGUCUCUGCUGCUGACGGACAACUCGCUCGCCACUCAGCAACCAGCUCCCAAGCCGCGCAACACACAGCCGCGUCGCAACAUCAUUGUGCGAAUGGUUUAGGUCAAUGAUCGAAAUAUGACCUCGUCUGCAGUACGGCAGUGCUGUGGAUCACGAGCGACCCAAGCCACGCAGCGUGUACGCUUAUCAGUAUUUAUUCACGUUGACCCAAGCCAAGGACGACGCGUGGCGGGAGAUACUACAGAGGAUGUGAUGUUGAAUCAUCGCGAUGUGUGGGAUUUGUGUACAAAGCAGUCAAUUUCCUCAACGAACCCGUUUCGUUUGCUCGCCGCUCUGGCUCCUUCCGGACCACACAACUAUUAUAUUUGCAAAAACUGAGGAAUGCUCAAUUACAUUUUAACAAUAUAACCCACAGUAAGUUCGAUAGGGUACUACACGUAAUACUAUUGUUAUUAUUCGCUUAACACAAUCAAGAGUUAAUUGUGAAAGAUUCGAUAUCUGCCAAGUCAACAUUAGUGAUAACAUCUGAGUGAGGGACAGGAAGCCUAGUAACGGGCGCGUUGGUCGCGUGCCAGCGGACCAACUCACACACACACACACACACACACACAUUACAUGUAACGAUUGACUCGAAGAAAAUUAUCCAAAGGAUUUUCAAUGAUUGUGCGUUAUUUGUUAUUACAAAAAUCGUAUGUCAUUACUUCAUGGUCACCGAAAACAAACGAGUAAAGCAGUAAGCAAAGAUUUUAUCUCACGUCAGUAACAUAUUACACGAUUUCUUUGACGAAAAGCUUACUUCAGCCGAGAAUUGAACGCAGACCGCGUGGUAUACUGUACCGUAGCGCAAGGUCAAGGUCACUUACAACUAAACCAACGACUGGAUUCAAAUGAUAAAGUAUCGUUGUAGCCGACACAUUUGUUGACUUGGAAUGUGGGUGUUCGUAGCCGGCAGAGCGGCUUGCAUCUCGUGAAACUGAAUUAUGUCGUUGAAGUGGGACGCACGCCAAACUCGACUUUGUUUCUGAUUGUAUACUCUUGUGUUAAUUCACGAUGACAGCUUGUUAAUAGUUUAGUGCUAUAAAUCACAUUAGCAACACAAAAAAUAACAUUAACAUUAUUAGUGUCCGAGGUUUGAUACGCACUCGUAUCGAGAUAUGAGACUACGGUGUGACCGGGAGUCGAGGGAAAUGCCGAUUUUUAAGACUAAAUAUGUGCUUCAAACGUGUUUCUGAACGACUUUCCCGAUGAAGUAAUAACUUCGUAUAAUAUAAAAAGAUCAAUUCAGGGUGAGCUGUGUGGUGCCAACCUGAAAUAUCACCACCAGCCCAUCUCUUCCUGUAGGAGUCGUAUAAGAUGGCUAAGGGAUCUACCUGAAGAAGGAGCAGCAGCGUUCUCUAAGUGUCAUACCAGUGCACGGCGAGGACUAGCCGUUAUUUACUAAUAGUAGGUCCUUUUGGAAGCUCACACGGGUUGACACCACAUAUUUUUUCCGUCAGAGGGCCGAACCUCAUACAAGGAAGGUAUCAGCGUCUAGGGGGCGCGUGGGGUAAGAUGAACUUGAGGAUCAGCAGACAUUUGGAGCAGACCGCGGGGCAAAGGAUGUUUUUAGAGUCAUACCCACUAAAUGACCAAAUAAACCAAUUUUUGUAAUGAAAUA